GCUUUAGUUGGUUGUUCCAACAAAUAGUUGGUAGACCAUGAGACUCUUAAUCUCAGGGUUGUGGGUUUGAGCCCCACGUUGAGCA